AUUGAACGCUGGCGGCAUGCUUUACACGUGCAAGUCGAACGGUGACAGGUUAAGCUGACGAGUGGCGAACGGGUGAGUAAUGCAUCGGAACGUGCCCGGCCGUGGGGGAUAACGCAGCGAAAGUUGCGCUAAUACCGCAUACGAUCUGAGGAUGAAAGCGGGGGACCGUAAGGCCUCGCGCGAUCGGAGCGGCCGAUGUCAGAUUAGGUAGUUGGUGGGGUAAAGGCUCACCAAGCCAACGAUCUGUAGCUGGUCUGAGAGGACGACCAGCCACACUGGGACUGAGACACGGCCCAGACUCCUACGGGAGGCAGCAGUGGGGAAUUUUGGACAAUGGGCGAAAGCCUGAUCCAGCAAUGCCGCGUGCAGGAAGAAGGCCUUCGGGUUGUAAACUGCUUUUGUACGGAGCGAAAAGGUCUCCUCUAAUACAGGGGGCUCAUGACGGUACCGUAAGAAUAAGCACCGGCUAACUACGUGCCAGCCGCCGCAGUAA
rnacentral:rRNA from 1 species